rnacentral:rRNA from 1 species
AUGAACGCUGGCGGCGUGCCUAAUACAUGCAAGUCGCGCGAACAGACGAGGAGCUUGCUCCUCUGACGUUAGCGGCGGACGGGUGAGUAACACGUGGAUAACCUACCUAUAGACUGGGAUAACUUCGGGAAACCGGAGCUAAUACCGGAUAAUAUAUUGAACCGCAUGGUUCAAUAGUGAAAGACGGUUUUGCUGUCACUUAUAGAUGGAUCCGCGCCGCAUUAGCUAGUUGGUAAGGUAACGGCUUACCAAGGCGACGAUGCGUAGCCGACCUGAGAGGGGGAUCGGCCAAAAAGGAAAUGAGACACGGUACAGAAGCCUAGGGGAGGAAGAAGGAGGGAAUCUUCCGAAAGGGGAGAAAGUUUGACGGAGCAACGCGGGGUGAGUGAUGAAGGGUUUCGGAGUGUAAAACUCUGUUAUUAGGGAAAAAAAAAUGGGUAAGUAAAUAGGCACGUCUUGACGGUAACAAAUCAAAAAGCCACGGCUAAAUACGU